GGAUGGGGCACCUCAGACAACAGGCAUAGCUAACUAACCACUAGACAUGUGAGUGAGACUCUUUUGGACAAUCCAGCCCCAGUCAAGCUACCAGAUGACAGUAGCUUUACAGCAGACAUGCAUGAUAUUUACUGUGGCUCUACUCAACUACAUCUUUAAGGGGAAGCCUUUGGAUUUCCCUGAAGCCCAGAGCUCAAGAUGAAGACCUCCAGUUCCUGUGUCAUCAGUCUCCUUUUUACUAAGGACACAAAGAACUAUGCAUUGGAUGCUUCCCUCAGGCUUCCAUAAGAUAGAUUUCUUCAUUACCAGGAAGCUCCAAAUGUGCUUGCAGAUUUUAACAAUGACAACAGUAAAAACCAUGACAUCUAUGAAAUCUGACAAUCCUUGCCACAAGAAAGCUACUAUUCUUGGAGAGAUUUGUGAAGACAGACAAUUCUAUGUCCCAAAAAGAUAGCAUUGAGAAAGUAACACUCACAGAAUAAGAACGUAAUCUUGAGAGUGUAAUUGGAAUUGGAAAUAAAAAGUUGAAUAAAAGGCA
rnacentral:lncRNA from 1 species